rnacentral:other from 1 species
UGGUCCCUGAGGUAUUCGUUAAAGGUUAUGUCCCUGAGCCGAUACUUCUAUACCCAGGAUCCUAGCUUGGCUACUAUUGAGCAGGCUCGGCAUGUACCGAGAAGCCUACGGUAAUCAUCUAGCUUCCGCCUUGAACCAUACGGUUCAAGGGCUGACACCUGCAGCGGUACCUUGGGGAGCGC